AGGACGAACGCUGGCGGCGUGCUUAACACAUGCAAGUCGAGCGGUAAGGCCCUUUCGGGGGUACACGAGCGGCGAACGGGUGAGUAACACGUGAGCAAUCUGCCCUUCACUUCGGGAUAAGCCUCGGAAACGGGGUCUAAUACCGGAUAUGACUGCGCCAUGCAUGUGGUGUGGUGGAAAGUUCUGGCGGUGAGGGAUGAGCUCGCGGCCUAUCAGCUUGUUGGUGGGGUAAUGGCCUACCAAGGCUUCGACGGGUAGCCGGCCUGAGGGGUGACCGGCACACUGGGACUGAGACACGGCCCAGACUCCUACGGGAGGCAGCAGUGGGGAAUAUUGGACAAUGGGCGAAAAGCCUGAUCCAGC
rnacentral:rRNA from 1 species